GGGGCGUGGUCACUGUCGGGGAACGUGCAGUGUUUUGUAUGGCGCUCUAGCUGCCCUGCACUACAGAGCCCAGCACGCCCACACAGAAGAGGGACUACUACAGGCAAUCUUUUGAUUGGAAUUCAAGGAAGGACUGGUGGGGGAAGGGAAUCUCAGCUCCACUUGAAGUAAAAGAUUUUUCCCAGCUUGCAAUGCGGCCGAGACCCGACUCACUGACGCCCCCUGACGUGACACCCCCUGAUGAAGCGCUGUAGCGCGAAACGUACGCUGGGGUAAGUGCAGGUGGCAUCUGGCUAUACAUUGGUUUACUUUCAUUCACUUAUCCAUGCAUUUUGUAGUGCUCAUUACUGGUAUUCAUGUGUAUUUCACUAUUGUUAUGCAGCUCACUACAUGUAUGUGUUGUAAUCAGGCCUAUGCCCCUUGUAUUUUCUCAGUCCU